AGUUUGAUCCUGGCUCAGAUUGAACGCUGGCGGCAGGCCUGACACAUGCAAGUCGAGCGGUUAACAGAGAGUAGCUUGCUACUCUGCUGAGGAGCGGCGGACGGGUGAGUAAUGCUUGGGAAUGUACCUUAUGGUGGGGGACAACAGUUGGAAACGACUGCUAAUACCGCAUAAUGUCUUCGGACCAAAGCGGGGGACCUUCGGGCCUCGCCAUAAGGCAGCCCAAGUGGGAUUAGCUAGUUGGUGAGGUAAUGGCUCACCAAGGGCGACUUUCCCUAGCUGGUUUGAGAGGAUGAUCAGCCACACUGGGACUGAGACACGUAGACUCCUACGGGAGGCAGCAGUGGGGAAUAUUGCACAAUGGGCGCAAGCCUGAUGCAGCCAUGCCGCGUGUGUGAAGAAGGCCUUCGGGUUCGUAAAGCAACUUUCAGUAAGGAGGAAAGGUUGGAUGUUAAUAGCAUUCAGCUGUGACGUUACUUACAGAAGAAGCACCGGCUAACUCCGUGCCAGCAGCCGCGGUAAUACGGAGGGUGCGAGCGUUAAUCGGAAUUACUUGGGCGUAAAGCGUACGCAGGCGGUCUGUUAAGCGAGAUGUGAAAGCCCGGGCUCAACCUGGGAACUGCAUUUCGAACUGGCAAACUAGAGUGUGAUAGAGGGUGGUAGAAUUUCAGGUGUAGCGGUGAAAUGCGUAGAGAUCUGAAGGAAUACAGAUGGCGAAGGCAGCCACCUGGGUCAACACUGACGCUCAUGUACGAAAGCGUGGGGAGCAAACAGGAUUAGAUACCGUGGUAGUCCACGCCGUAAACGAUGUCUACUAGAAGCUCGGUUCCUCGGAACUGUCUUUUCAAAGCUAACGCAUUAAGUAGACCGCCUGGGGAGUACGGCCGCAAGGUUAAAACUCAAAUGAAUUGACGGGGGCCCGCACAAGCGGUGGAGCAUGUGGUUUAAUUCGAUGCAACGCGAAGAACCUUACCUACACUUGACAUACAGAGAACUUACCCAGAGAUGGUUUGGUGCCUUCGGGAACUCUGAUACAGGUGCUGCAUGGCUGUCGUCAGCUCGUGUUGUGAGAUGUUGGGUUAAGUCCCGCAACGAGCGCAACCCCUAUCCUUAGUUGCCAGCGAUUCGGUCGGGAACUCUAAGGAGACUGCCGGUGAUAAACCGCGAGGAAGGUGGGGACGACGUCAAGUCGCAUGGCCCUUACGUGUAGGGCUACACACGUGCUACAAUGGCGCAUACAGAGUGCUGCGAACCUGCGAGGGUAAGCGAAUCACUUAAAGUGCGUCGUAGUCCGGAUUGGAGUCUGCAACUCGACUCCAUGAAGUCGGAAUCGCUAAGUAAUCGCGUAUCAGAAUGACGCGGUGAAUACGUUCCCGGGCCUUGUACACACCGCCCGUCACACCAUGGGAGUGGGUUGCUCCAGAAGU
rnacentral:rRNA from 1 species